rnacentral:rRNA from 1 species
UACGUAGGGGGCAAGCGUUGUCCGGAUUUAUUGGGCGUAAAGAGCGUGUAGGCGGCUUGGUAGGUCCGCUGUGAAAACUCGAGGCUCAACCUCGAGAUGUCGGCGGAAACCACUUGGCUAGAGUCCGGAAGAGGAGAGUGGAAUUCCUGGUGUAGCGGUGAAAUGCGCAGAUAUCAGGAAGAACACCUAUGGCGAAGGCAGCUCUCUGGGACGGUACUGACGCUGAGGUGCGAAAGCGUGGGGAGCAAACAGG